GUGCUCAUUUUGGCAGCACAUAUACUAAAAUUGGAAUGAUACAGGGAAGAUUAGCAUGGCCCCUGCACAAGGAUGACACGCAAAUUAGUGAAGGUUCCCUAUUUUUA